AGGGAUGUAGCUCAGUGACAGAGCACAUGCUUAGCAUGCACAAGGCCCUGGGUUCAAUCCCUUGCACCCCUU
rnacentral:tRNA from 1 species